UACGAAGGGUGCAAGCGUUACUCGGAAUUACUGGGCGUAAAGCGUGCGUAGGUGGUCUGUUAAGUCUGAUGUGAAAGCCCUGGGCUCAACCUGGGAAUGGCAUUGGAUACUGGCAGGCUAGAGUGCGGUAGAGGAUGGCGGAAUUCCCGGUGUAGCAGUGAAAUGCGUAGAGAUCGGGAGGAACAUCUGUGGCGAAGGCGGCCAUCUGGACCGGCACUGACACUGGAGGCACGAAAGCGUGGGGAGCGAACAGG
rnacentral:rRNA from 1 species